rnacentral:rRNA from 1 species
GGCCGCGGGAAUUCGAUUAGAGUUUGAUCAUGGCUCAGGAUGAACGCUGGCGGUAUGCCUAACACAUGCAAGUCGUACGAGAGUUUUUAACUCUAGUGGCGGACGGGUGAGUAACACGUGAGAAUUUGCCUUUAGGAGGGGGAUAACAAUUGGAAACGAAUGCUAAUACCCCAUAUGCUUUUAAGUGAAAUGGAUUUUAUCCGCCUAGAGAGAAGCUCGCGGCUGAUUAGCUUGUUGGUAAGGUAAAAGCUUACCAAGGCGACGAUCAGUAUCUGGUUUGAGAGGACGAUCAGACACACUGGAACUGAGACACGGUCCAGACUCCUACGGGAGGCAGCAGUGGGGAAUUUUCCGCAAUGGGCGAAAGCCUGACGGAGCAAUACCGCGUGAGGGAAGAAUGCCUAUGGGUUGUAAACCUCUUUUUUCAGGGAGGAAUAAAAUGACGUGUACCUGAAGAAUAAGCAUCGGCUAACUCCGUGCCAGCAGCCGCGGUAAGACGGAGGAUGCAAGUGUUAUCCGGAAUCACUGGGCGU